GACCAGUUCUGUCAAAGAAGGCCAGCAAGUACACCGUCUUUGUGUUGACAUCUUCGGAGUAUUAAGAGUGCUAAAAUGGAUAUUACCAGGUGUACGGAGAAAUGGGUAAAACAAGAAAAGGAGAGGCCCCCAACAUCCUCUAUAAUGCUCUCGAGCAAGAAAUCUGAUCCUGCGUCCUCUUCAUCCUCCUCUUCAUCUUCUGCUGGAGCAGGAGGAGGUGAAAGGGUCUUGGGUUCUGACGCCCAGACUGGUCCGUCAGCCUCAGCUGCAGGAGCAUUGGAUUCAAAGAAGAAGGAAAGGUCCUCCCCAAGUGGGGAAGCCGGGGGAACUUCUUUUCCCCACCAGUCAGGUGCUGGAGGGGCAGACCAGGACUUGGCUGAAGUCCGCAGGACAAGUCGACGCAAGAGAGCAAAACAGGUGGAGUACCGUGAGAUGGACGAAAGCUUGGCUAACCUCUCGGAGGACGAGUACUAUUCGGAGGAGGAGAGAAACGCUAAGGCGGAGAAAGAAAGGAAGCAAGUUGUCCCUCCUCCUGCACCACCUCCAGAGGAGGAGAAUGAGAGUGAGCCCGAAGAGCCAUCUGUUUAUCCUUUAGGUCUGGAAGGUGCUGCUUUCCAAAGCCGACUUCCCCAUGACCGAAUGACCUCCCAGGAAGCUGCCUGCUUUCCUGACAUCAUCGGCGGCCCCCAACAGACCCAGAAGGUCUUCUUAUACAUCCGUAACCGCACACUCCAACUGUGGCUGGACAACCCGAAAAUCCAAUUGACCUUUGAGGCUACAGUCCAGCAGCUUGAAGCUCCGUACAACAGUGAUGCUGUGCUGGUCCACAGAAUACACAGCUACUUAGAAAGGCAUGGCCUCAUCAAUUUUGGAAUUUACAAGCGGGUCAAACCUUUACCUGCCAAGAAAACUGGGAAGGUAAUAGUCAUCGGUGGAGGCGUGUCCGGCCUUGCUGCGGCGCGACAGCUGCAAAGCUUUGGGAUGGACGUUACGGUACUGGAAGCCCGGGACCGUGUCGGAGGUCGAGUGGCGACCUUCAGAAAAGGCAAUUACGUUGCGGACCUCGGAGCCAUGGUGGUGACAGGACUGGGAGGGAAUCCCAUGGCAGUGGUCAGUAAACAAGUGAAUAUGGAGUUGGCCAAAAUCAAGCAGAAGUGUCCUCUCUAUGAAGCCAAUGGUCAAGCUGGGGAACGAUGUACAAGUGUCCCAAAAGAAAAAGACGAGAUGGUCGAGCAGGAGUUCAACCGGCUGCUGGAGGCCACUUCCUACCUGAGCCACCAGCUUGACUUCAACUUCCUCAACAACAAACCUGUUUCUCUGGGGCAGGCCCUGGAGGUGGUCAUACAGCUGCAGGAGAAGCACGUGAAAGAUGAGCAGAUAGAACACUGGAAGAAAAUAGUCAAGACUCAGGAAGAACUGAGAGAUCUUCUCAACAAGAUGGUUUCCACAAAGGAGCGCGUGAAGGAGCUCCAUCAGCAGUAUAAAGAAGCCUGCGAAGUCAAACCGCCCAGAGACAUCACAGCUGAGUUCCUGGUGAAGAGCAAGCACCGAGACCUUACAGCACUCUGCAAAGAGUACGACGAGUUGGCGGAGCUGCAGGUGAAGCUGGAAGAAAAACUGCAGGAGCUGGAGGCCAAUCCACCCAGCGAUGUUUACCUCUCAUCGAGGGAUCGGCAGAUCCUAGACUGGCACUUCGCCAACCUGGAGUUUGCCAACGCUACACCCCUCUCCACCCUUUCUCUCAAGCACUGGGAUCAGGAUGACGACUUUGAAUUCACUGGCAGCCACUUAACUGUGAGAAACGGUUACUCCUGUGUUCCUGUGGCUCUGGCUGAAGGUUUAGACAUCAAGCUGAACACCGCCGUGCGACAGGUCCGGUACACGGCGUCGGGCUGCGAGGUGAUCGCCGUCAACACGCGCUCCACCACCCAGACCUUCAUAUACAAGUGCGACGCCGUGCUGUGCACGCUGCCCCUCGGGGUGUUGAAGCAGCAGCCCCCCGCGGUGCAGUUCGUCCCGCCGCUGCCGGAGUGGAAGACUUCAGCCAUUCAGAGGAUGGGAUUCGGCAACCUCAACAAGGUGGUGUUGUGUUUUGACCGCGUCUUCUGGGAUCCGAGCGUUAACCUGUUCGGUCACGUCGGCUCCACCACCGCAAGCCGAGGCGAGCUCUUCCUCUUCUGGAAUCUCUAUAAAGCUCCCAUCCUGCUGGCUCUGAUGGCCGGCGAGGCCGCUGGGAUUAUGGAGAACAUCAGCGAUGACGUCAUCGUCGGACGCUGUCUGGCUAUUCUCAAAGGAAUCUUUGGAAGUAGUGCAGUUCCACAGCCCAAAGAAACAGUCGUGACUCGCUGGCGGGCCGACCCCUGGGCGAGGGGCUCCUACUCGUACGUGGCAGCUGGUUCCUCAGGAAACGACUAUGACCUCAUGGCGCAGCCCAUCACGCCUGGACCCGCCAUACCUGGAGCCUCUCAGCCCGUCCCUCGUCUGUUCUUCGCCGGCGAGCACACCAUCAGAAAUUACCCCGCCACGGUUCACGGCGCCCUGCUAAGCGGCCUCAGGGAAGCUGGACGCAUCGCAGAUCAGUUCCUCGGCGCAAUGUACACACUCCCCAGACAAGCCACCCCCACGGCCAACAGCAACCCCCAGCAGGCGCAGCCCGCUGCCAGCGUCUGAACGGGAACCACUCGGACUCUCCGGCCGCGCGACUCGAGUCCCGGAAAAAGACUUUGAUUUUGAAAGGACAAAUUACACUUCUAGUUUCAGAAAAAGCGUAAUUAAGAAACCCAUUAUAAACACACCACUAGCUCUCAUUUCACCUCCCUUCAGUCACAUUUAGGAAAUUCUCUUCGCUAGAGUCAAACGUGGAAUUUUUCUAUUUAUGAACUGUUGUACAAACUAGAAAUAACGGUUGAAAACCCGUCCACAAACACACAAAAGUUCAACUCUGGAGCCAGCAGAGCCCCUCCCACUACAGCGUUUACAUUUCAAAGGAAGUUGUCACAAAAGCGUUUCCUGUUUCUUUUAGCCGUUUGUCUUUCAGAUUUCAUUUCUACUGUUUGAGGCAGAAUAUUUAAGUGAAGAAGCUUCAGCUGACGGACAGAAAAGCUGUUGGUUUAAUGGUUUGGUCUUAGAUGACAGACGCCGUUUGGCCUCAGGGUUGCUGUUAUUCUGACCAAAGGAAAGGUUUCACGUAACAACAGUCAUCUGAGCUGCUUUUGGUUUGUUCUCUUUAUGGUAAAACAAUAAAAAAAAGUCCAGUCGAUUAGUCAUGACAAAAACAAACUAAUUAAUAUAAAACAAAUGUGUAACAAAUUUAAAGUAAUAACCAGUUUGGUCUAAAGAUAGAUUCUUUAAUAAUCCAUGAGGAAAUUUAAAAGUGGCCAAUCUUAAAAACACACAAAAAAA